GCCUACGGGGGGCAGCAGUGAGGAAUAUUGGUCAAUGGUCGGGAGACUGAACCAGCCAAGCCGCGUGAGGGAUGAAGGUACAGAGUAUCGUAAACCUCUUUUGUCAGGGAACAAAGGCGGGGACGUGUCCCCGGAUGAGUGUACCUGAAGAAAAAGCAUCGGCUAACUCCGUGCCAGCAGCCGCGGUAAUACGGAGGAUGCGAGCGUUAUCCGGAUUUAUUGGGUUUAAAGGGUGCGUAGGCGGACUGUUAAGUCAGCGGUAAAAGCCCGGGGCUCAACCCCGGCGAGCCGUUGAAACUGGCUGG
rnacentral:rRNA from 1 species